UACAUAGGGAGCGAGCGUUAUCCGGAUUUAUUGGGUGUAAAGGGUGCGUAGACGGGAAUUUAAGUUGGUUGUGAAAUCCCUCGGCUCAACUGAGGAACUGCAACCAAAACUGGAUUUCUUGAGUGCUGGAGAGGAAAGUGGAAUUCCUAGUGUAGCGGUGAAAUGCGUAGAUAUUAGGAGGAACACCAGUGGCGAAGGCGGCUUACUGGACUGUAACUGACGUUGAGGCUCGGAAAGCGUGGGAGCAAACAGGG
rnacentral:rRNA from 1 species